CUCCCUUCACACAUACCGGAACUCAACCAGGUAUCCGUCGACACCGCUCGCCAUCGUGCGCGUUCACCGGCCGCACGGCGCCUCAGUCAGCCUUCUUCGCCACUCACUCGAUCACCACAGACAGAGUGCAGGGUGUCGUGUCGCACAGGACUACCUCGCGGAUCGUGUCUUGCGACUUUGGUUGCGCUCACACCUUCUCGUCUUCUUCGUUCUCUCGCGAGGAGCUGCAAAUCGUGGUUUCUACGUCUUUUUCUCUUUCCCGGUUUGACAGCGUCUCGGCGUGUGCUGCUGUUAUCCCAGUCCAGGGCUCUCUUCCACACCUCCUCGGAAGAGUCUUGUCAACGUUGACGGUGCCACGUAGGAAGUAGGCUUGAGGCUUUUCGCGCUUCUUUUUGUCCUAGCCAGAAGAAGCCGCAAUGCCUGUGGAAGCUGAAGUGCUCCCGACGCCGACGCGUCUGCCGCCAGAUGACGCGAUGCACGUGGUAGGAAGCCUCAUCCGGUACAUUCUCAUCAUCGUAAUCGUCGUCUUCGGCAUCAUUCCUGCCCUGUGUGGGACCGUGUUCCCCCCUUCUCAGCGUUGUGGAGCAUCCUGAAGGCUGUGUCGCCGUAUGCGUGGGCCUCGAUGGGCACCGGCAUCGGCAUUGCGCUUUCCAUUCUCGGCGCCGCAUGGGGCAUCCUAACAAGUGGUGCAUCGAUCAGCGGUGCGGCUAUCCGGGCCCCAGAAAUCCGGAGCAAGAACCUCAUCUCCAUCAUUUUUUGCGAGGCCGUGGCUAUCUACGGUGUCAUCCUCUCCAUCAUCAUGAUGGGAAAGAUUCAGGCGAGCAGUUCUUCUGUCGGUAGCGGCGGCGUCUACAGGUACGAGACCAUCGUUGGCGGCUACACCCUCUUCGCUGCCGGGAUCGCCGUGGGCAUCGGCAACAUGGCAUGCGGUAUCGCGGUUGGCAUUGUUGGCAGUAGUUGUGCUAUUGCUGAUGCGCACAGCAGCAGCUUGUUUGUGAAGGUGCUCGUGAUCGAGAUUUUCGCCUCGGCGCUCGGUAUCUUUGCGGUCAUUACGGGCAUUCUGAUGGCGCAAAAGGUUCAAAUGAAGUAGCCCGACCGCCGGGGAGCCGAAGAAAAAGUAAAGAGCACUUAUGCAGCUAGAGGGUGAUGAGCGGUGGUGGUGGUGGGGAGAGCGACGCUCCUGGUCACGCACAGGAAAUCUCAGGGGAGAGGGAGACGUGCAUGGGAUCCCCCUCUCAUUCUGUCCUCAGGACCACUAACAGCACCGUCAGGCUUGCCGUGUUUCGUUCGCUUACCUUUAAGCUCCCAAGCGAUUGAAGCGUCCUUCCGUUUACCGAUCGUUUUGUUUUUCUGUGUUUCAUGUUCUCUUGCUUUGCCGUUAGAGGGGUCUUGUCUCUGAACACGGUAGAUGCGCGCGCGAGAUGCGCAGCACCUCUACUACUCGUCGUGCCUCGCUCUGCAUCUUUCUGAGAGAUGAACGAACCUGUCGAUAAGCGUGCAGGGGGGUGGUGGAUUAACAUCCAUUUUGUUAUGUGACGGCGUCGGCGCUCGCCAAGGUGGCGUGUGUCGAGCGCUGAUGUCUUGUUUGCGGUGAUCAACCAACGG
rnacentral:misc_RNA from 1 species